GCAAACUUGGUCAUUUAGAGGAAGUAAAAGUCGUAACAAGGUUUCCGUAGGUGAACCUGCGGAAGGAUCAUUAAUGAAUAAACUUGGUCAAGCUGUUGCUGGUCUCUCGAGACAUGUGCACGCUUGCCACCAACUUUAACCACCUGUGCACCUUUUGUAGACUGGAAACGUUUCUCGAGGCAACUCGGAUUGAGAACUGUUGCGCGCAAGCCAGCUGUUCUUGUGUUUCCCAGUCUAUGUUUUCAUAUACUCCUAAUGUAUGUAAUCGAAUGUAUUGCUAGGCCUUAGUGCCUUUAAAUCAAAUACAACUUUCAACAACGGAUCUCUUGGCUCUCGCAUCGAUGAAGAACGCAGC
rnacentral:misc_RNA from 1 species